rnacentral:rRNA from 1 species
GACGAACGCUGGCGGCGUGCUUAACACAUGCAAGUCGAACGAAGUGGCGAACGGGUGAGUAACGCGUAAUCAACCUGCCCUUCAGAGGGGGACAACAGUUGGAAACGACUGCUAAUACCGCAUACUGAAGGAGGGGAUUGCGUCUGAUUAGCUAGUUGGAGGGGAAACGGCCCACAAAGGCGAUGAUCAGUAGCCGGUGGGGUAGGAUGAACGGCAACAUGGGGACUGGGACACGGCCCAGAGUCCUACGGGAGGCAGAAGUGGGGAAUCUUCCGAAAUGGAGGAAAUGCUGACGGAGCAACGCCGCGUGAGGGAUGACGGCCUUCGGGUUGUAAAGCUCUGUUAAUCGGGACGCGGUACCGGAAUAGAAAGCCACGGCUAACUACGUGCCAGCAGCCGCGGUAAUUC